GAUGAACGCUGACAGAAUGCUUAACACAUGCAAGUCAACUGUGGCGGACGGGUGAGUAACGCGUAAAGAACUUACCUCACAGCUAGGGACAACAUUUGGAAACGAAUGCUAAUACCUGAUACUGUGAGAGAGCUUUGCGUCCCAUUAGCUAGUUGGAGAGGUAACGGCUCACCAAGGCGAUGAUGGGUAGCCGGCCUGAGAGGGUGAACGGCCACAAGGGGACUGAGACACGGCCCUUACUCCUACGGGAGGCAGCAGUGGGGAAUAUUGAACAAUGGACCGAAGUCUGAUCCAGCAAUUCUGUGUGCACGAUGAAGUUUUCGGGAUGUAAAGUGCUUUCAGUUGGGAAGCGGUACCAACAGAAGAAGUGACGGCUAAAUACGUGCCAGCAGCCGCGGUAAUUC
rnacentral:rRNA from 1 species